rnacentral:tRNA from 1 species
AGUUCUAUGGUGUAAUGGUUAGCACGCUGGACUCUGAAUCCAGCAAUCUGAGUUCUAAUCUCGGUAGGACAU